rnacentral:rRNA from 1 species
GGCGGACGGGUGAGUAACACGUGGGUAACCUGCCUGUAAGACUGGGAUAACUCCGGGAAACCGGGGCUAAUACCGGAUGGUUGUUUGAACCGCAUGGUUCAGACAUAAAAGGUGGCUUCGGCUACCACUUACAGAUGGACCCGCGGCGCAUUAGCUAGUUGGUGAGGUAACGGCUCACCAAGGCGACGAUGCGUAGCCGACCUGAGAGGGUGAUCGGCCACACUGGGACUGAGACACGGCCCAGACUCCUACGGGAGGCAGCAGUAGGGAAUCUUCCGCAAUGGACGAAAGUCUGACGGAGCAACGCCGCGUGAGUGAUGAAGGUUUUCGGAUCGUAAAGCUCUGUUGUUAGGGAAGAACAAGUGCCGUUCAAAUAGGGCGGCACCUUGACGGUACCUAACCAGAAAGCCACGGCUAACUACGUGCCAGCAGCCGCGGUAAUACGUAGGUGGCAAGCGUUGUCCGGAAUUAUUGGGCGUAAAGGGCUCGCAGGCGGUUUCUUAAGUCUGAUGUGAAAGCCCCCGGCUCAACCGGGGAGGGUCAUUGGAAACUGGGGAACUUGAGUGCAGAAGAGGAGAGUGGAAUUCCACGUGUAGCGGUGAAAUGCGUAGAGAUGUGGAGGAACACCAGUGGCGAAGGCGACUCUCUGGUCUGUAACUGACGCUGAGGAGCGAAAGCGUGGGGAGCGAACAGGAUUAGAUACCCUGGUAGUCCACGCCGUAAACGAUGAGUGCUAAGUGUUAGGGGGUUUCCGCCCCUUAGUGCUGCAGCUAACGCAUUAAGCACUCCGCCUGGGGAGUACGGUCGCAAGACUGAAACUCAAAGGAAUUGACGGGGGCCCGCACAAGCGGUGGAGCAUGUGG